GUGAACGCUGGCGGCAGGCCUAACACAUGCCAGUCGAACGGCAGCACAAGAGAGCUUGCUCUCUGGGUGGCGAGUGGCGGACGGGUGAGGAAUGCAUCGGAAUCUGCCCAUUUGUGGGGGAUAACCUCGGGAAACCGGGACUAAUACCGCAUACGACCUACGGGUGAAAGCAGGGGAUCUUCGGACCUUGCGCAGAUGGAUGAGCCGAUGCCGGAUUAGCUAGUUGGAGGGGUAAAGGCCCACCAAGGCGACGAUCCGUAGCUGGUCUGAGAGGAUGAUCAGCCACACUGGGACUGAGACACGGCCCAGACUCCUACGGGAGGCAGCAGUGGGGAAUAUUGGACAAUGGGCGCAAGCCUGAUCCAGCCAUGCCGCGUGUGUGAAGAAGGCCUUCGGGUUGUAAAGCACUUUUGUUGGGAAAGAAAAGCAGCCGGUUAAUACCCGGUUGUCAUGACGGUACCCAAAGAAUAAGCACCGGCUAACUUCGUG
rnacentral:rRNA from 1 species